GGCCUAACACAUGCAAGUCGAGCGCGAAAACACUUCGGUGUGAGUAGAGCGGCGGACGGGUGAGUAAUGCUUGGGAAUCUGCCCAGUAGUGGGGGAUAACGUGUGGAAACGCACGCUAAUACCGCAUACGUCCUACGGGAGAAAGCAGGGGAUCUUCGGACCUUGCGCUAUUGGAUGAGCCCAAGUCGGAUUAGCUAGUUGGUGGGGUAAUGGCCUACCAAGGCGACGAUCCGUAGCUGGUCUGAGAGGAUGAUCAGCCACACUGGGACUGAGACACGGCCCAGACUCCUACGGGAGGCAGCAGUGGGGAAUAUUGCACAAUGGGCGAAAGCCUGAUGCAGCCAUGCCGCGUGUGUGAAGAAGGCUCUAGGGUUGUAAAGCACUUUCAGUAGGGAGGAAAAGCUUAAGGUUAAUAACCUUGAGCCCUGACGUUACCUACAGAAGAAGCACCGGCAAACUCCGUGCCAGCAGCCGCGGUAAUACGGAGGGUGCGAGCGUUAAUCGGAAUUACUGGGCGUAAAGCGCGCGUAGGUGGUUUGAUAAGCUAGCUGUGAAAGCCCCGGGCUCAACCUGGGAACUGCAGUUAGAACUGUCUGACUAGAGUACAGUAGAGGGUGGCGGAAUUUCCUGUGUAGCGGUGAAAUGCGUAGAUAUAGGAAGGAACAUCAGUGGCGAAGGCGGCCACCUGGACUGAUACUGA
rnacentral:rRNA from 2 species